rnacentral:tRNA from 1 species
GCCGGGAUGGCGGAAUGGCAGACGCGCGGGUUUCAAAAACCCGUUACUUCACGGUAAUGUGGGUUCAAGUCCCACUCCCGGCACCA